GGUGCGUUAACGGCGUGGGAAUUCUGCCCUUAGGUACGGAAUAACUCAGAGAAAUUUUGCUAAUACCGUAAUGAUGUCGAAAGACCCAAAGAUUUAUCGCCUAAGGAUGAGCCCGCGUAAGAUUAGCUAGUUGGUAAGGUAAAAGCUUACCAAGGCGACGAUCUUUAGCUGGUCUGAGAGGAUGAUCAGCCACACUGGGACUGAGACACGCCCAGACUCCUACGGGAGGCAGCAGUGGGGAAUAUUGGACAAUGGGCGAAAGCCUGAUCCAGCAAUGCCGCGUGAGUGAUGAAGGCCUUAGGGUUGUAAAGCUCUUUUACCAGGGAUGAUAAUGACAGUACCUGGAGAAUAAGCUCCGGCUAACUCCGUGCCAGCAGCCGCGGUAAUACGGAGGGAGCUAGCGUUGUUCGGAAUUACUGGGCGUAAAGAGUACGUAGGCGGUUAUUCAAGUCAGAGGUGAAAGCCUGGAGCUCAACUCCAGAACUGCCUUUGAAACUAGAUAGCUAGAAUCACGGAGAGGUUAGUGGAAUUCCGAGUGUAGAGGUGAAAUUCGUAGAUAUUCGGAAGAACACCAGUGGCGAAGGCGACUAACUGGAUAUUCGCUGAGGUACGAAAGCGUGGGGAGCAAACAGGAUUAGAUACCCUGGUAGUCCACGCCGUAAACGAUGAUAACUA
rnacentral:rRNA from 1 species